AUACUGUGAUAAGAACAUGUUCUAAGUAAUUCCUUAAAGUGCUCCCAAGCCACAUACAAAGUUUCCCCUUCAUAUUUGACAAAACUAGUGAUAUUGGCAUUAAGUCU
rfam:Gossypium raimondii Chr02_contig_652, whole genome shotgun sequence.